AGCUCCAAUAGCGUAUAUUAAAGUUGUUGUGGUUAAAAAGCUCGUAGUUGGACUUCGGCGAGAGACAGAGACGCACAUUCUUUGAUGUUGCGGAUUUGUUGACUCGUGAAUUUUAUGAUGGAGGUUCGUAGGUGCUCUUAAACGAGUGUCUUCGGAUGCCAUCAGGUUUACUUUGAAAAAAUUAGAGUGCUCAAAGCAGGCUUGACACGCUUGAAUAUUUGUGCAUGGAAUAAUAGAAUAGGACGUCGUUUCUAUUUUGUUGGUUCUCGGAAAUCGACGUAAUGAUUAACAGGGACAGUCGGGGGCAUUAGUAUUCAGACGUCAGAGGUGGAAUUCUUGGACCGUCUGAAGACUAACAACUGCGAAAGCAUUUGCCAAGAAUGUUUUCAUUA
rnacentral:rRNA from 1 species